AUAGAGUAACUCAGUGAUAGUAUAGUCUGCUUAAAGGGACACUCCAGGCACCCAGUCCUGGAUCUGCGCUUUUGAACUGGCACUUCGGAUACAGCCGAAAUGCUGAAGUAGUUGAAGUGGCCGCCAUUCGACAAACGAACAUGUGGCAGCGGUCAUUUUAAUUCAGUCAAACGCGUUCAGCAAUGUUUGGUCGUCGAGUUCAUGGAACUAAAAUCGG